rnacentral:rRNA from 1 species
UACGAAGGGGGCUAGCGUUGCUCGGAAUCACUGGGCGUAAAGCGCACGUAGGCGGACUCUUAAGUCAGGGGUGAAAUCCUGGAGCUCAACUCCAGAACUGCCUUUGAUACUGGGAGUCUUGAGUUCGGGAGAGGUGAGUGGAACUGCGAGUGUAGAGGUGAAAUUCGUAGAUAUUCGCAAGAACACCAGUGACGAAGGCGGCUCACUGGCCCGAUACUGACGCUGAGGUGCGAAAGCGUGGGGAGCAAACAGG